UGGACUCCGGUCCUCGUCGAGAAAGGUCGUCCCGGGUGACCUCCAGGUCCCCGGGGCUUCCCCCCUCUUACCCUCUGUUUACUCUACCUCUGUUGCUUUGGCACAGCUCCUGCCCGGGUGGUUCCGGGCUUGGGCUCUGCCGGAGGGCCCCAACUCGUGGAUAGUCUAUGUUUGUCUGAGUACGAUAUAAUCGUUUACAACUUUUAACAAUGGAUCUCUUGGCUCUGGCAUCGAUGAAGAACGCAGCGAAACGCGAUAUGUAAUGUGAAUUGCAGACUUUAGUGAAUCAUCGAAUCUUUGAACGCACAUUGCGCCCCGUGGUAUUCCGCGGGGCAUACCUGUUCGAGCGUCAUUACAACCUCUCCAGCCCUGCUGGGUCUUGGGGCUUGCCGUCCUGGCAUCCCUUAAAACUAGAUGCGGCGCCGCGUGGCUCUAAGCGUAGUACUUUUCUCGCUUCUGGGUCCGCUGUGGUGCCUGCUACACAAACCCCAUCUUUCUAUGGUUGACCUCGAAUCAGGUAGGGAUACCCGCUGAACUUAAGCAUAUCAAUAAGCGGAGGAAAAGAAACCAACAGGGAUUGCCCUAGUAACGGCGAGUGAAGCGGCAACAGCUCAAAUUUGAAAUCUGGCUCCUUCCGGGGUCCGAGUUGUAAUUUGCAGAAGAGUCUUCUGGUGUGGCCCUGGUCUAAGUCCCUUGGCACAGGACGUCAUAGAGGGUGAGAACCCCGUAUGUGACCAGGCGCCUAUGCCUCUGUGAAGCUCUUUCAACGAGUCGAGUUGUUUGGGAAUGCAGCUCAAAAUGGGUGGUAUAUUCCAUCUAAAGCUAAAUAUUGGCCAGAGACCGAUAGCGCACAAGUAGAGUGAUCGAAAGAUGAAAAGCACUUUGAAAAGAGAGUCAAAUAGUACGUGAGAUUGUUAAAA
rnacentral:rRNA from 1 species